rnacentral:rRNA from 1 species
UACGUAGGGUGCGAGCGUUGUCCGGAAUUACUGGGCGUAAAGAGCUCGUAGGUGGUUUGUCGCGUUGUUCGUGAAAACUCACAGCUCAACUGUGGGCGUGCGGGCGAUACGGGCAGACUGGAGUACUGCAGGGGAGACUGGAAUUCCUGGUGUAGCGGUGAAAUGCGCAGAUAUCAGGAGGAACACCAAUAGCGAAGGCAGCUCGCUGGGACGUUACUGACACUGAGGCGCGAAAGCGUGGGGAGCGAACAGG